rnacentral:rRNA from 1 species
ACGAACGCUGGCGGCGUGCCUAAUACAUGCAAGUAGAACGCUGAAGAGAGGAGCUUGCUCUUCUUGGAUGAGUUGCGAACGGGUGAGUAACGCGUAGGUAACCUGCCUUGUAGCGGGGGAUAACUAUUGGAAACGAUAGCUAAUACCGCAUAACAAUGGAUGACACAUGUCAUUUAUUUGAAAGGGGCAAUUGCUCCACUACAAGAUGGACCUGCGUUGUAUUAGCUAGUAGGUGAGGUAAUGGCUCACCUAGGCGACGAUACAUAGCCGACCUGAGAGGGUGAUCGGCCACACUGGGACUGAGACACGGCCCAGACUCCUACGGGAGGCAGCAGUAGGGAAUCUUCGGCAAUGGGGGCAACCCUGACCGAGCAACGCCGCGUGAGUGAAGAAGGUUUUCGGAUCGUAAAGCUCUGUUGUAAGUCAAGAACGGGUGUGAGAGUGGAAAGUUCACACUGUGACGGUAGCUUACCAGAAAGGGACGGCUAACUACGUGCCAGCAGCCGCGGUAAUACGUAGGUCCCGAGCGUUGUCCGGAUUUAUUGGGCGUAAAGCGAGCGCAGGCGGUUUGAUAAGUCUGAAGUUAAAGGCUGUGGCUCAACCAUAGUUCGCUUUGGAAACUGUCAAACUUGAGUGCAGAAGGGGAGAGUGGAAUUCCAUGUGUAGCGGUGAAAUGCGUAGAUAUAUGGAGGAACACCGGUGGCGAAAGCGGCUCUCUGGUCUGUAACUGACGCUGAGGCUCGAAAGCGUGGGGAGCGAACAGGAUUAGAUACCCUGGUAGUCCACGCCGUAAACGAUGAGUGCUAGGUGUUGGAUCCUUUCCGGGAUUCAGUGCCGCAGCUAACGCAUUAAGCACUCCGCCUGGGGAGUACGACCGCAAGGUUGAAACUCAAAGGAAUUGACGGGGGCCCGCACAAGCGGUGGAGCAUGUGGUUUAAUUCGAAGCAACGCGAAGAACCUUACCAGGUCUUGACAUCCCGAUGCUAUUUCUAGAGAUAGAAAGUUACUUCGGUACAUCGGUGACAGGUGGUGCAUGGUUGUCGUCAGCUCGUGUCGUGAGAUGUUGGGUUAAGUCCCGCAACGAGCGCAACCCUUGCUAUUAGUUGCUACGCAAGAGCACUCUAAUAGGACUGCCGUUGACAAAACGGAGGAAGGUGGGGAUGACGUCAAAUCAUCAUGCCCCUUAUGACCUGGGCUACACACGUGCUACAAUGGUUGGUACAACGAGUUGCGAGUCGGUGACGGCGAGCUAAUCUCUUAAAGCCAAUCUCAGUUCGGAUUGUAGGCUGCAACUCGCCUACAUGAAGUCGGAAUCGCUAGUAAUCGCGGAUCAGCACGCCGCGGUGAAUACGUUCCCGGGCCUUGUACACACCGCCCGUCACACCACGAGAGUUUGUAACACCCGAAGUCGGUGAGGUAACCUUUUGGAGCCAGCCGCCUAAGGUGGGACAGAUGAUUGGGGUG